GAAUCCCACAGGCCGUAAACCCAAGGUUUCCAGGGGAAGGUUCGUCCGCCCUGGGUUAGUCGGGACCUAAGCUGAGGCCGAAAGGCGUAGGUGAUGGACAACAGGUUGAUAUUCCUGUACUACCGAUAACCGUUUGAGAGAAGGGAUGACACAGUAGGAUAAGCUAAGCACACUGUUGGUUAUGUGUGCCCAAGCAUUGAGGCAGUCAAAGUAGGCAAAUCCGCUUUGAUAAUGCUGGGAUGUGAUGGGGAGCGAAAUUUAGUAGCGAAGUAGCUGAUUUCACACUGUCAAGAAAAGUCUCUAUCGAGGUUAAAGGUACCCGUACCGCAAACCGACACAGGUGGGUGAGGAGAGUAUCCUAAGGCCAGCGAGAGAACUGUUGUUAAGGAACUCGGCAAAAUGACCCCGUAACUUAGGGAUAAGGGGUGCCACCAUCAGGUGGCCGCAGAGAAUAGGCCCAAGCGACUGUUUACCAAAAACAUAGGUUUCUGCUAAGUCGCAAGACGAUGUAUAGGAGCUGACGCCUGCCCGGUGCUGGAAGGUUAAGGGGAUCUGUUAGAGCAAUCGAAGCAGUGAACUUAAGCCCCAGUAAACGGCGGCCGUAACUAUAACGGUCCUAAGGUAGCGAAAUUCCUUGUCGGGUAAGUUCCGACCCGCACGAAAGGCGUAACGAUUUGGGCACUGUCUCAACAACAGACUCGGUGAAAUUGUAAUUCCGGUGAAGAUGCCGGAUACCUGCGACAGGACGGAAAGACCCCAUGGAGCUUUACUGUAGCUUGACAUUGGGUCUUGGUACUACAUGUACAGGAUAGGUGGGAGGCUUUGAAACCAGGACGCCAGUUUUGGCGGAGCCAUCCUUGGGAUACCACCCUUGUAGUACUGGGACUCUAACCAUAGGCCAUGAAUCUGGUCUUGGGACACUGUCAGGUGGGCAGUUUGACUGGGGCGGUCGCCUCCCAAAAGGUAACGGAGGCGCUCAAAGGUUCUCUCAGUACGGUCGGAAAUCGUACGUAGAGUGUAAAGGCAAAAGAGAGCUUGAUUGCAAGACAUACAGGUCGAGCAAGGAUGAAAAUCGGACUUAGUGAUCCGGUGGUUCUGCGUGGAAGGGCCAUCGCUCAACGGAUAAAAGCUACCCUGGGGAUAACAGGCUUAUCUCCCCCAAGAGUCCACAUCGACGGGGAGGUUUGGCACCUCGAUGUCGGCUCAUCACAUCCUGGGGCUGUAGUAGGUCCCAAGGGUUGGGCUGUUCGCCCAUUAAAGUGGUACGCG
rnacentral:rRNA from 1 species